UCUCUCUCUCUCUCUCUCUCUCGCACACACACUCUCUCUCUCUCUCUCUCUCUCUCUCUCUCGCACACACACUCUCUCUCUCUCUCUCUCUCUCUCUCUCUCGCACACACACUCUCUCUCUCUCUCUCUCUCUCUCUCUCUCGCACACACACUCUCUCUCUCUCUCUCUCUCUCUCUCUCUCGCACACACACUCUCUCUCUCUCUCUCUCUCUCUCUCUCUCGCACACACACUCUCUCUCUCUCUCUCUCUCUCUCUCUCUCGCACACACACUCUCUCUCUCUCUCUCUCUCUCUCUCUCUCGCACACACACUCUCUCUCUCUCUCUCUCUCUCUCUCUCUCGCACACACACUCUCUCUCUCUCUCUCUCUCUCUCUCUCUCGCACACACACUCUCUCUCUCUCUCUCUCUCUCUCUCUCUCGCACACACACUCUCUCUCUCUCUCUCUCUCUCUCUCUCUCGCACACACACUCUCUCUCUCUCUCUCUCUCUCUCUCUCUCGCACACACACUCUCUCUCUCUCUCUCUCUCUCUCUCUCUCGCACACACACUCUCUCUCUCUCUCUCUCUCUCUCUCUCUCGCACACACACUCUCUCUCUCUCUCUCUCUCUCUCUCUCUCGCACACACACUCUCUCUCUCUCUCUCUCUCUCUCUCUCUCGCACACACACUCUCUCUCUCUCUCUCUCUCUCUCUCUCUCGCACACACACUCUCUCUCUCUCUCUCUCUCUCUCUCUCUCGCACACACACUCUCUCUCUCUCUCUCUCUCUCUCUCUCUCGCACACACACUCUCUCUCUCUCUCUCUCUCUCUCUCUCUCUCUCUCUCACACACACACUCUCUCUCUCUCUCACUCUCUCACACACUCUCUCUCGCUCUCUCUCACACUCUCUCUCUCUCUCACACACACUCUCUCCCUCUCUCUCUCUCUCUCUCUCUCUCACACACACACUCUCUCUCUCUCUCUCUCUCACUCUCUCACACACUCUCUCACUCUCUCUCUCUCUCUCUCUCUCUCUCUCUCUCUCUACUGGGAGUGACACGUACAGGAGCCAAUCAUUUUCAGAUACAUGCUAA
rnacentral:lncRNA from 1 species